UACGUAGGGGGCAAGCGUUAUCCGGAAUAACUGGGCGUAAAGGGUGCGUAGGCGGCCCUGCAAGUCAGAAGUGAAAGGCUACGGCUCAACCGUAGUAAGCUUUUGAAACUGUAGGGCUUGAGUGCAGGAGAGGAGAGUAGAAUUCCUAGUGUAGCGGUGAAAUGCGUAGAUAUUAGGAGGAAUACCAGUUGCGAAGGCGGCUCUCUGGACUGUAACUGACGCUGAGGCACGAAAGCGUGGGGAGCGAACAGG
rnacentral:ncRNA from 2 species